GCAGAAGGAAAAUACAGUCGCUGAUUUUGUUUUUUCAAAAUCAGAGGAAAGUCCGGGCUCCAUCGGAAAAAAUGCCGGUUAAUUGCCGGGCGGAAAACGUAAUUGGCAAUUUGCUAAAAAUUGUUCAUAAUCGUUUAUCCGACAGAAAGUGCAACAGAAAAAAUACCGCCUUAAACAAAGGUAAGGGUGAAAAGGUAAGGUAAGAGCUUACCGCAUUUUUGGUAACAAAAAUGGCAAUGCAAACCUCAUUUGGAGCAAGGUCAAGUAGUAACUAAAUUCCGAUAGUUGGUUACGGGUAGAUCGCUAAAGAUUUUUGGUAACACUAAUCUUAGAUAGAUGACUGAAUAAUACAGAACCCGGCUUAUUAUCCUUCUGCUUUU
rnacentral:RNase_P_RNA from 1 species